ensembl:lincRNA 2210406O10Rik RIKEN cDNA 2210406O10 gene
GGCUCCUGCUACCUUCUGCGGGCGGAACGUGGGUGUCCCGGGAAGGGACGGACCCCAUCUCUACUAUGCCGCAAGCGCGUUGUGUCAACAGGCUGGCUGUGGACGGCCCGAUGAGCGUUACUUGAUUUUGUACUUUCGGCCACCUCCAAUUUUCUCAGAACGCAACAUAAGAAAAAAAAAACUAACAGCAGUGUGUGCAGGAGAGCUUCGAAAAUAUGGGUGCUGAUGUUUGGUCACUGCUAUGGGGGAGGUCGCAGAGCUGAGAGUUGUCGGAGGACGUUUUCUGUCCUGUCUAGCUGUUCAACCCAGGGUCCAGACUUUUCAAGGGCUACUUAUGGUAGUCCGAACUACUCACUGCUGACACUUGGCACCUAGUCUUCAUUCUGGGACCCCAGAGACAUUCUUCCCUGCUGUGACUAUGCAUGGGGAGGUGUGUCCACUGCCCGGCAUCUCAGCUUCACAAGAGGCCCCACAGGGGUCUCUCACUUGAAGGACAAGGGCCAGGGAGACCAUGUCAGUGGGAAUUACCUGUGAGGUCACGUGCUGCUGCUUCUAGUUCACUCUCUGACCUCUCCUGAAGAAGCCAAGCUGCAGAGAUGAGCUACAAAGGACAUUCUCAGAGCUGUCAAAAAGAAUCAGAGGAGAAAGGCUUCAAAGAAGACUGAGACCAGACCAGCUGCUUGGAAAAAGCAGAAGCCAGCUGAGCUGUCUGGAAGAAGUUUAGAUCAACUGAGGCACCUGGAAAGGACAAUCCACCUCCAACCUGCUGAGCUUCAUGAGUGCUGUGUGUUCCAGGUACCCAGCUUUGUGAGCUGUGGCCCAUGCUGGGGUAGGCUUUGGUGAUACUGCUGGUUUUGAGUCAUUUCUACUCCUGUAAGUAAUUCUUCAUCCAUACUCUUGUGCGUAACCCCAAUAAAACUCAUUGGUCCACCAAACUAG